rnacentral:rRNA from 1 species
GACGAACGCUGGCGGCGUGCCUAAUACAUGCAAGUAGAACGCACAGUUUAUACCGUAGCUUGCUACACCAUAGACUGUGAGUUGCGAACGGGUGAGUAACGCGUAGGUAACCUGCCUGGUAGCGGGGGAUAACUAUUGGAAACGAUAGCUAAUACCGCAUAAUAUUAAUUAUUGCAUGAUAAUUAAUUGAAAGGUGCAAUUGCACCACUACCAGAUGGACCUGCGUUGUAUUAGCUAGUAGGUGAGGUAACGGCUCACCUAGGCGACGAUACAUAGCCGACCUGGGAGGGUGAUCGGCCACACUGGGACUGAGACCCGGCCCAGACUCCUACGGGAGGCAGCAGUAGGGAAUCUUCGGAAAAGGACGAAAGUCUGACCGAGCAACGCCGCGUGGGUGAAGAAGGUUUUCGGAUCGUAAAGCUCUGUUGUAAGAGAAGAACGGGUGGGAGAGUGGAAAGUUCACACUGUGACGGUAUUUUACCAAAAAGGGACGGCUAACUACGU